AUUGAACGCUGGCGGUAUGCUUUACACAUGCAAGUCGAACGGUAACAGGCCUUCGGGUGCUGACGAGUGGCGAACGGGUGAGUAAUGCAUCGGAACGUACCCAGAGGUGGGGGAUAACGCAGCGAAAGCUGUGCUAAUACCGCAUGUGAUCUGAGGAUGAAAGCGGGGGACCGAGCAGCAAUGUUUGGCCUCGCGCCUUUGGAGCGGCCGAUGUCGGAUUAGCUAGUUGGUGGGGUAAAGGCCUACCAAGGCGACGAUCCGUAGCUGGUCUGAGAGGACGACCAGCCACACUGGGACUGAGACACGGCCCAGACUCCUACGGGAGGCAGCAGUGGGGAAUUUUGGACAAUGGGCGCAAGCCUGAUCCAGCAAUGCCGCGUGCGGGAAGAAGGCCUUCGGGUUGUAAACCGCUUUUGGCAGGAACGAAACGGUGUCCGCUAAUACCGGGCGCUAAUGACGGUACCUGCAGAAUAAGCACCGGCUAACUACGUG
rnacentral:rRNA from 1 species